rnacentral:misc_RNA from 1 species
UCGCCAAUUAGGUACCUGGGCUCAAUUUGGCUAGGAUUUUGCUUCAAAAUUCUAGUGACAAAAUCAUCUCUUUUAGUUUCAUUGGACUGUGAAGCGGAACUUGAGUUCAAGCCGCACAAAACUGUGAACGAUCGGUGAGGAAAUGGCGUCUUUGGUCGAAAUUUUCGAGCGCAUUUCAAGGAUUUUUGGUACGGUUUGUGAAG